rnacentral:lncRNA from 1 species
UUAUACUACUCCUUAAGUACGGCCUAAUGAGAAUUGGUGAAUAAGCGGCAGUCUUUGGAUCUGCAGUUGUCGCGUCGGGGAUAUCCAUCACCACCGAAGAGGAAGGCAUACCAAUCAGAAGAGCUUCACUCUCAACUCUCCCUAAGAAAAAUAAUUACUUCAGGGAAAAUCUACCUUGCAAACAAUUUUAUUCAUCUUUUCGCUGGGCCUGGAGAUAUGAAUUCUGCACAGUAACACUCUGAGGGGCCAACAUUCCUCCUUAGUACACAGGUACCUUGGUUUCUGCUAUGAUAUUGAAGAACAAAUCAAGGACAUAAGGCUGAGAGAUACAAUGUGGCUGAUUUCAAACAGAAACGAUGCUCAGUACUUCAUUACCUGUUUUGUUGUUGUUCAGGUAAGGAUUGAAAUAAUACUAGAAAGAUGCAGAAGAGUAAAUACAAUUGAACAAAGAAAGGUAGUAAUGUAAAGCAGUAUAUUCACCUGUGAGCAGAGGUCAGGGUCAGCUUGUCACCCAUCCAUCCAUCUAUUUUUUUUUUUAAUGUUUUAUUGAGGAACUCUUGUGCCAGGUUCUCUUCUAGGUACUGAAGAAGCAUCAUGAACAAGGCUUGCUUGGUCUCUAACUAUAUAGAGCUUAUAGUCUAGCAAAGAUGGGUGCAUUUUAUGCUCUUAUUAAUUCAUCAGGAGUUAAUGAGGAAGUGGCAGAUGUCACUAAAAUGUGAGUGUCUUUGGGGAAAAGAUAAACUUGUUUUCUCCUAGGACAUUUUCACUUUACUUCUCUCUCCCUUGUUUUAUCUCCCUUAGCAAAAUGCAAGCCCCUCAAGGACAAGAGUAUCUAGGGUUCACUUCAGUAUGCACCUUAGCACCUGGCAGAGUUGCCUGCCUUGUGAACUGCAACACCAACAUCCAUGCAGUGGCUUCUCACUAGUGUAUUUGUUGUACUUAUUAGAGUAGAUAUUCAAUAAACAUGGCUUUCUAAAAUGCAGAAUCACUCACAUAUUGUGCAAUUCCUUGAAUUCUGGCUACCAUACUGACCACUCUAUGUUCUCAUUUCCAGAGUCUUCUUUCCAGCUCUUGCCCUGCCUUAGCCUAUGCCACACUUCUGUGCUUCUCCUGUUCUAACAAUGCAAAUUCACUACCCUGGCUUCAUUUUGUUUGACUACUAUUUCUCUAUUCUACUUGAUAACACUGUUUGAUUCAUUUCAAUUCAAUGAAAGUCAAUUCAUUCUAAUUGAUAUUUGAGCAGUUACUCUCUCCUGGAUACAUUUUAUCACCUAUAUUUAGAAUACUCAAAAAUGCAACCUUAAGCUAUCUGAUGGAUCUAAACCUACAUUGUCUAUUGGACAUCAUCUCCAGGGUAACCUAUAAUGUCCUCAUUCUAAGCAUAUCUAAAAUUAAACUUAGGAUUUUUCUCUGGAAAUAAGACUUUACCUACUUCUUACUUAGGAUAACACGAUAUUAAUGUGAAUAUUAUUUUAGCUACUCAUAUAUAAAUCUCUAUGUUGUAUUUAACUAGUUUUUCAAAAUUCCUUUCAAUAAAGCUUCAUUUUCCCCAACAUACAACGCAUCUCCAAUCCCAAAAUGCCUGAACGUACCUUAUCACUUUUAUGCCCUCUUGUACUCCAAGCUAUACAGCAUACAUUGCUAGCUAUACAAAAAUAAGUCAGUGUUAAUGAUGCUUACAGAAGCAGGUAUAAUUUCUUCAGUUUAUGGUAUAAUAGCUUAUGCAAUACUUCACUAUCAUCGCCUUAUUUGCCACUAAGACUCUACAUAUAUUCUACACUCCACAGAAAGUCUUCCUCGAUGUUGUGUAAUUUCUUGCUUCUGAAUUGUUCUCCAACUUUUCUCACCCUUUGGUAGGCCCACUUCUGUCAUUCUGAGUGUAAAAUGUCUGCCUUUUAAGCCCUAGUUUAAAUCACACCUUCUUAAUGAUUUAUGCUGGUGAAAAUAAAUUUAGAAAGAGAAGAAAUAAAGAUGAUAGCCUUUAGUAACAUACAGACUUGAAUUAAAUCCUGGAUCCACCACUUUACAUGCUGUUUGAUCAUCGACAAAUGGCUUUAAAUUGCAACACCGCUCCAAGGGGGGAAAAUUCUAUCCCUUCAGAAUGAAGAUAAUCUUCCCUUGGACUUUGAAAUGAAGAAGGUAGCUAAAUAGCACUAUUUGAUUAAAAUUAGUGUGAAAAUGCACAAGGGAUGCUGGAUUUCAAACAUCCUGAAAUUUAGGAGAUUAUUGGCUAAAAAUCUACCAAGACCCAGGAUGGCAUUAAACAAUUCAAGGCAAGAAUGUGGUCCAAGUAGAAAACGACUCUAUACUUUCACUUACCUUCAUUGUGACAUGAUAAAUUUGUAAACCAGUAGGCUGGUAGUCAAACUGUAUAUUUCCACCCCCUACUACAUGGAAAAAUAAUUUCUGAAGAACCUAGGGUCAUUUCACUCCUGGAUACUGCCCCCUUCUGGGACUACAAUUCCAAGUAAAAAUCAUAGCUGAUGGCUGAAAAUAAGGGGUGCCCUUUAAUGAGUUGUAAGAGUGAUGCGUUUUGGCAGUUGUAAAUUUAGAUAUGUUAAUUCUGGCAAGGAACUAAAUAUAUGCUCCUUAGGUUCCCUUCUGUAUAUUAAAACAAACAAAACAAAAAGACACAAACAGACAAAACCAUGCAGCAAAAAGUUUUCAUCAGGGUUACAGGUCAAUGGAAAUUUGGUAAGUACUGUGCCUAUCUACUCUUCAGCCAUUGAUCUUAGAAGUUGGACAAGUUAAAAAGACUCAGUCAAAUAUAUGCCCCUAUUCAACCAUGUAUUACCAAAUAUUAACCCAGAUUUAUUUCUUUCAACUGAAUGACUAAAUUAGAAUAUAAGUACAUAAGAAAAUAUUUGACAAUGUAAAAUUGUACUCAGAUUAUAAAGGAUAAUCCAGCUUAAAGAUAUUUACAUUAAGAAGCAGAAGAAAUCUCAGCAUCAGUGUUGCCCUCUCAAUAAAAUGAAAUCAUAUAUACACAGAGUAUACAGGAAAAAAGAAACAGAAUAUAUAAAUAGAAGAGCUGAAAGCAUCCAGCUGGCUCAGCUAAUCUAAAUUCAGUAAUUUUAUUAUCGUAUGGACCUCUUCUGGUUUUGUAUUUGUGGUCUUAAAGCUUGGAUUUUCUCAAACAAGUAUUAAAGGAGAGUUCUUAUUAUUGGUAUUAGGCAUCUUUCUAUGUUUUGAAUCCUCUGAAAAUUUAUCCCAACUCCUCUCUCUCUUCCAGGAUUUCCUGAAAGCUUAACCUUUGAAUCCUUUCUUACGUUCUAGUGUUUAUAUAAAAUUAUUUUAUCUUAAUAGUAUUUCUGUCAUUUUAGUUAACUCUCAGUAAGAAGGGAAGUAGAAAAAUAACCUCAGUUUGCAAUCUUGAUCCAACUCCUCCAUCAGAUAUUAAUUUUGUAUGCAGGAAAACAAUAAAUGUUACUCUUAAAAUAUUACAAUGAUUAAAAAUAAAUUAAAAAGAUAGUCUUUGCUUAUGUGAAAAAACAGCUAAAUGUAACACCUUAUUUUCUCUGAUGAUCAAUAUAAUGAGGCAUUUCUGUGCCAUGUUAAAAAAAAAGUUUGCUGUAGAGAAUUUGAGACUCAAAUGUAAAUUCUUUAAUUUUCCAUCAUUUGUUUUUACUCUACUUUAUGUUAAAAAAGAGAAAUGUGGUGUUUUAGAAGAUUUCUUAAAAGAGAAAUGUGGUGUUUUAGAAGAUUUGUAGUAACAUAUUAAACAUGUAUGCUUCUC